UUUGAUGUAAGAUCUUUCUUUCUUUCUUUCUUUCUUUUUGUUCAUCUUUUGAUGGCUGUCUGGGCUAUGCAAAUCGGAGUCCUCUCUGUUUUUGUUAUAUUCCAAUAUGGAUCCUAUGAUCUGAAACUUUUUUUUGAUGUUUUCUAUUCAUCUCUGUUUCUCUUAUUCAUUCAGUAGAAGUUACAAUAUAUGCAAAUAUUUGUAUGUAGGUAUACAAGUACAUAUCUAUGCCUUUUGUCACUAGUCUUCUACAUAGGUUCAAUUAUGUUAUCUUUGAUCCAGCUAUUGUGAAUUGUUUGUUAGCAGCAUACUGAAACCCGAAACUGCUAAUUAUAUUCCGUAGGCUUUAUCGUCUAUGCAUGCUGGACGUCUAUUUCUCAUUCAAUCUGUUGUACUCGUGGAAAUGCUAUAGUGUUUUUGAAGUGGAACAUUAUAUCUGCUUAUAUGUUAGUGUUCCUUAGUUACCAGUCAUUAAGGCGGGUUAUUUGGAUUGUGUCCUUUUUAGUUUUUAUAUUUGAAUUUGUAUGUUACUUCCUACACCAAGGAGACAGUUUUUGGUAUUUUUAUUUCUCUAUUUCUCUGUAAUUUGGUUAAUCAAUUUUCUGUUUUGAUAGAUGACAAGAUGUUACAUUGUUGCACUUGCAUCUAAAAAUUUUCAUAAAGUCAUCUAAAUAUUGUGUUUUUACGGGAACGGUUUGUUAAAAGAAGGCAGCGUCUCGUGGGGCCGAAUUCUUCGACUUUGAAGGCACUUGAAAUAUUGACAGGCUGCUACAUUCUUGUUCAGGGAAACACUGUUGCAGCUAUGGGUUCAUUUAAAGGAUUAAAACAAGUCAGGCGGAUUGUGGAGGACUGCAUAGAGAAUAAAAUGCAUCCUGUAUACCAUAUCAAGAUUCUCAUGAUGAAGAAAGAACUUGAGAAGGAUCUGGCACUUAAAGAUGAAAACUGGGACAGGUUUCUU